ACCUGUUGGCGGUGGCGGAGGGGGGAACAAGGCUGCUUCAGCGAUCAAUCUGUGGGACCUCAGAGCUCAGCAAAGGUGAAACGAAAUACGAAAAUUGCAGUGCAGCAGAAGAGGAGUCAGCUAUCUGAGGGCCUCUGCUGAAAUCCCAUCUUUCGGGUGACGUGGGAUUUCUCACCUUCUGAAAAUCCUGCCUGUGCUGCUGCUUUGUUUGACUGGUUUCUCAAGUCCGUACCAUAACUUCCUGAUUUGCUGUGGAAGGAUUGCUAUCACAGCUCAUCUGCACUAUCAAAUAAAGAGCUGUUGAACAUGUUCACUGAAGAAAGCCCCCAGGCAGCUGUAACUUCCUCAGCUGGCGUUUAUUUGCCAGAAAAACCAAGGCGUCAGUGAAUUUACCAGUGCUUCAGGAAGCAUCCACCCACAAGAUCGCUCUGCCUGAACUCAGCCCUCUGAGGAGCUGAGCUCCUUCAAUUCCUCUUGAAGUCAGUGGGUGUUGAGGUGCUGAGCACCUAACAAGGUUGAGGCCAUAGCUCGGGGUGUCUGCAUCCUGGUUUUGACCUGCAGAUUUGUGUCUCAGUGUCUGCUGAUUGCCGAAGUGACAGCAUGAAAUACAGCGAUGAAAAUUCAGCGAGGAGGCCUAUGUGAGAAGUGCUGGAGCUAUCUCAGGUAGCAGCUGAUACCAGGUGGUGACUACAUCGCUUGUGGAACCCAAGAGGCGUGCUGAGAUUCUGACCCAGCAGACCACUGCCCGCUCCGGCUCCAAGCUCUCGCGGCAUCUGCAGCCUCCUCCUUUCCCACAGGCUCAACCUGCCAAACACGGGCAUUUCCCAGGCUAAGGCUACGUCAACAGAUCAAGAUAAGUAAAAGGAGGCCAAAGGCACAGCAAGAAAUCCUGGAAUUUGAAUCCCUCCUUCCAACAAAGGCACCAGACGAGGGAGCAGCCGCUAUGGAAGAUGACUACCAAGAGCUCACAGACCCUUGCAGAUUCCCCGGUAGAAGUGCCGCCACUGCUUAACAAUCUCAAACCUGUGGUCAAUGGCUUGCUGGUCUCCAUUUGUGCACCCUUAGAAGUGGUCUGUGAAACUCCAGGUGACUGCAGACAUCUAGAAAAACCCUGAUUCUCGGAAUGAACAUUUAGAAAAGAAAAGAGAGCCUGAUACUGGAGCUCAGCAGGAGUGCAAGAAGAGGACCUCGCUUUGGUUGGGAUCUGUGGACAGUCUUCCAGCUGUAAGAGGGACAGCAGUAUGCUGUUGGUGGUAUGGGAGGGGUGCUUUGCCUCUCAGAGACCUGAUGUCCUGGUUCAUUAAGAUUGAGGGGGAAAAGUGAAAUUCUGAAACCUCUUGCAAGCCUGGAAAACAAUUUUCCACCAAGCUCUCCUCAGAUGAGAUUGCAGAAAUUCUCUUCUGUUUUCUCCUUCAUCCCUGGCUCCCUUAACAUGCAGUUCUCUUCAGGCUGCUCUCCAAGACAAAAUCUGAGGCUGGCUGAGAUUUGUGCUAAUGAAAAAUGUUGCUUCAAAUCAGAAAGAGCACUGUACUGAGGAAUGGGAUUAUUUCCAAUUCGCUGUAAAACUGAAGAUGCACAAUGCGAUGGCCAGCACUGAGCUGGAAUAUGUGAACUACCAGGGUAGCACAUUAAUGAGGCAACCAAGCGAAGGUGGCACCUCUUCUGUAAAUGCAGGACUUCAGUCUGCAGUAGUUUCAUUCCAGCACCUUUCCUCACAAUAAAGGAUCCCAAGAGAGUGUACCAGAGAAGUAUAUCCCUGAAGAGGACCAGCAUCUUUUAUGUGGACCAGGAUCUAUGGGUGAGGUAACUUUCUGCCCACCAGGAUGGAGGAGAUGCUAUAAAAGGAGGAAAAGCAGACAGGGUUUUACUUCUUUUGCUCUGAGGCAGAUUUCCUGAUUUCUUGAGAGCUGUGGAGCUUUUUGUCCUUUGUCAGUUACAACCUUUUGGUAGCAACACAGGAAGGAAACCUGCCAUCUACCCAUCAGGAUGCUGUCAUCUGUCUUGUACGAUUGUAUUCAUGUCCUAAAUCCACACCACUUGCAGCUGGAGCGAUACUCUGCAGGUAACUUGUUUAGCAUCCCCGUUUCCAAGAACGCUGUGCUGAUGCUCUGAAACCUCCACAGCAAUUUACUCUUUUCCAGGUUAACUUUUAAGUGCUGAUUUUGACCCAUAUUCCUGUCCUGUCAACUUCCCUGUUCCCAUGCGAUACAACCGCAGCUGUAAUGGGGAGGGAUGGUGUGCCUGUGUCGCCAAGGACCCAGGAGCCAUGGUGGACUGGUGCCCUUCCAGCCUUUCCUCCUUGAAACAUGGUCCCUCAGCUGCAGCUCAAUAGCAAAACUAAUACCUGUUUUUAAAUAUCAAGGGCUCUCAUUGUUAAGGAGACUUUCCAUGGAGUACAUAUUUUGGUAAGAAAACUCUAAAGUUGCUGCAUGAAGUUGUGUUAAUAGACAAUAAAAUUGCAGCCGGUUCCUGGUUCUAUUUCAAAAGAUAUGUAUGAAAUUUACUGCAUAAGGGAUGUUGAGUUAAAAGUGAUCGGAGGAGUUACUUUUAUCUUGGCUCACAUACAGCAUUACAUUUACACCUGAACACAGGGUGAAUUAUCAUCCAGAGGAGUUGAGAAGGAAUCUCUUUUCUCCAGGAAUGGCAAUUAUAUUUGAUUAGGUACAUGGGAGCUUUUUCCUCUCCUGGCCAAGGAGCUGAGGGCAGUGCUUUGAAGACACCCAGCCUCAUGAUCAAGGUGUAAAGCAUAAUGACAAAUGUGAAGUUUCUGCAGGGUCAGAGGCAGCUACAAUAGUUCAGGGGAGAGGGCAUCGGACUGGGACUUAAGAGGCUUGACUUGACUGCCCUCUUCUUCCACUGGUCUGCAGGACAAAUCACUUCCUUUCUGUGCCACAGUUUCCUUAUCUGUGAAAUGGUGGUAAUGAGCCUUUCUUCUUCAUUUCUCUUUGUAAUCGCUCCAAGAGCUGCAGGUAAAACAUGCUAUACGCGCACUUGGUAUUACUGUGUUUGAUUUGUGGGAUUCUUUGUGCAAUAUCCUAGUGCAAGGAGUUGCUUCAGAUUUGCACACAGAGGCUCAAGGACCACAGUGUUUUGUCACCCUGCUGUUAACAGCUCAUCCCUGAAAUCAUUUGGAUGUACAGGCAGUGCUCUGGUUUUGUUUUUGUUAGGAUAUCUGCAGCCUGCAAUCUUAGUGCAACAGGAUCUGCAAGUCAAGCAUAGCCAUCGAACAAAAGGACCCUGAGGAGAUGUGUGUUUUUUGCAUGCUCUCCUUCACAAAAUGACCCCCGCCCCCCAUCCUUUUGCCUCUGUUCUCUGCUGGUCCCCUGUCAAGAGGCCUCCUUGCCUAUGGUCAUCAACAGUUUGCCAACAUGAUGGGGAGGGGGAGGAGGAAAAAUUUACCUUGACAUGUGUGGUAAUCUAAGCCUCAUUCCAAAUGUGUUUGCUUAAGCAUUGCUAAGGGUCUCCUCCUUCCUCCGUCAUUUCUCCCCUCAAGCUGUCUUUGUUUCAAGAUUGGAGGUGAUUGCUGGAGACGUGGGGAUUUCCAUGGCUGUGGCUGUUGUGAUCUGGGCCCUCUUUGUUUGGCGACAUGUGUGGAGUCCUGGUCACAAUCUCCUCUUGUUGGAUGAAAUACAUCAGGAUGAAGAGUCUUAAUUGUGAGGUGAUACCCCACUGAGUGUCAGAGUAGGUGGGGUGUGCAUGAUGCUCUUUAGUUUGGGUCAUUUGAAGUGAUAGAUGCAGGAGGAUGGUAGAUUUGUUCUUGCUGAAAUCUGAGAACCUGCCUGUAUCGGUGAAUGUCACCCAGUGCUCAGCAAAUGCAUUCAGAUGAAAUCAUUGAGAUCUUGGGUUUCAGGCCUAAGUGAUCACUACAGGUACUACUAGUUCCUGCCUGUGGAAUAAACAUUUGCUGAAUGCAAUUCAACAUAAUAACACUUUGUGCAGCAAGCAAUCACUCAUCACCCUCUGCCUCUUCUCACUGUUGUGACAAUCCCAACUCUAUCCAGACCACAAAUAUGUUAACCUCUCCUAGAAGUGUUUUACUAAUAAACUGCUUAACUUCACUUUCUUUGACCAGAAGUCAGGGUGCAUUACUUUCCUAUUAAAUGUAUUUGAUUUUACUGGGCUGUUUUUUCUGUCUGUUCUCUGGAGAUAGUGAAGGGUGCUAACGGGAGAUGCAGGAUGUAGUCUUUCCACUAACAAGUCAUGCAGGUAGUGCUUGGUGAUGCCAGUGACCUGCAAAAUGGCCUUGGACAGGUCACUUUUUUUGUUUUCUCCCCUUCCCUAUUGCUCCAGCUCAUCUGUUGAACACUGUCAGUAAUUUGGGGCAAGAUCUGUACAACGUAUACCCUUUAUAAAGAGCUGCAGGCUCUAAUGAAAUGAGUCUUUUAGUGGUUGAUCAAUUUGCAGAAGGUAUUGCUGUUAUCUGUACUUUUUCUUCACAGAAAGCAUCAAUUGCAGAGCAAGGACUGGAGCCAAAUCUCUUGACUCCUGGCCCAGUAUCCCAUCUGGAAUGGGACCUUGUUCUAGAGUUGGAGCUCCAUGACACUAUUAUGUAUUUGUGCAACAGGACUAUUCACGAUAACCUUUGGCUGUGAAGACCCAGGAAAGUGCUCGCUGCAGGAGUCAUCCAGCUGAAACCCCAGAGUUCGGCUUGCUUCCCUCUGAGUUUUGAAGACUGCGACUUUAAUUAGGAGGUGCCUUUGAUGGGAUCCACUAACACCUUUCCUCCUGGAGGACAGAAGUCAGACUUGUGGCUAGCAGGAGAUGGACUGUGAAAGCCAAGAGACUCCAACUAUAGCCUAGCUGAAGGUUUUGCAUUGGAAAACCAUAAAGAAGGGGACAGUGUCAUCCUG